AUACGGAGGGUGCAAGCGUUAUUCGGAAUCACUGGGCGUAAAGGGUGCGUAGGCGGUUUGAUAAGUCUGAUGUGAAAUCCUAUGGCUCAACCAUAGAACUGCAUUGGAAACUGUCAGACUAGAAUACUGAAGGGGCAGAUGGAAUUAGUGGUGUAGGGGUAAAAUCCGUAGAUAUCACUAGGAAUACCGAAAGCGAAAGCGAUCUGCUGGGAAGUUAUUGACGCUGAGGCACGAAAGCGUGGGGAGCAAACAGGAUUAGAAACCCCAGUAGUCC
rnacentral:rRNA from 1 species